GAAGAGCUGUAAGCUCAGUGGUAGAGCCCUUGCUUUGAUGCAAAAGGUUCCAGGUUCAAUCACUGGCAUCUUCA